rnacentral:rRNA from 1 species
AUUGAACGCUGGCGGCAUGCCUUACACAUGCAAGUCGAACGGCAGCACGGGAGCAAUCCUGGUGGCGAGUGGCGAACGGGUGAGUAAUAUAUCGGAACGUGCCCAGUCGUGGGGGAUAACGUAGCGAAAGCUACGCUAAUACCGCAUACGAUCUAUGGAUGAAAGCGGGGGAUCGCAAGACCUCGCGCGAUUGGAGCGGCCGAUAUCAGAUUAGGUAGUUGGUGAGGUAAAGGCUCACCAAGCCGACGAUCUGUAGCUGGUCUGAGAGGACGACCAGCCACACUGGGACUGAGACACGGCCCAGACUCCUACGGAGGCAGCAGUGGGGAAUUUUCCCGGANAAUGGGCGCAAGCCUCGAUCCAGCAAUGCCGCGUGCAGGAUGAAGGCC